rnacentral:misc_RNA from 1 species
UACAGAGGGUGCGAGCGUUAUUCGGAUUUACUGGGCGUAAAGCGCGCGUAGGAGGUUUGUUAAGUUGGAUGUGAAAGCUCCGGGCUCAGCCCGGGAACUGCAUCCAAAACUGGCAAGCUAGAGUACGGUAGAGGGUGGUGGAAUUUCCUGUGUAGCGGUGAAAUGCGUAGAUAUAGGAAGGAACACCAGUGGCGAAGGCGACCACCUGGACUGAUACUGACACUGAGGUGCGAAAGCGUGGGAGCAAACAGG